GAAGCAUCCACUUGCAGAGCCACAGCACCAUACGUCACCGCAGUUUCAGACCCGCAGUUGUAGACCCGCAGUUUUAGACCCGGAAGUGACGUUACCAUUUCUAGGCAAGCCGAAAACAACCAAUACUAUCCACUUGCAGAGCCACAGCACCAUACGUCACCGCAGUUUCAGACCCGCAGUUGUAGACCCGCAGUUUUAGACCCGGAAGUGACGUUACCAUUUCUAGGCAAGCCGAAAACAACACCUCCAUUUAUCGAACACAAGUCUUGGUUUUUAGCACGAGCGCAGCAUUUUCGAGCACAAACAAAAUAUGACAGAAAACAGCACGUAACAAGACAAAACGAAUAUCUUCAGGCACAUGGAUACUAAUUAAAAACAAGUGUGAUUUACCCUUGAUCAGGAGGUGCUGGUGCUUUAUUCUAUUGGAGAAUUUAGCUGUUGGAAGUUAUCUCUUUCUCUGUGGCUAA